GUCGAACGAACUCUGGUAUUGAUUGGUGCUUGCAUCAUGAUUUACAUUUGAGUGAGUGGCGAACUGGUGAGUAACACGUGGGAAACCUGCCCAGAAGCGGGGGAUAACACCUGGAAACAGAUGCUAAUACCGCAUAACAACUUGGACCGCAUGGUCCGAGUUUGAAAGAUGGCUUCGGCUAUCACUUUUGGAUGGUCCCGCGGCGUAUUAGCUAGAUGGUGGGGUAACGGCUCACCAUGGCAAUGAUACGUAGCCGACCUGAGAGGGUAAUCGGCCACAUUGGGACUGAGACACGGCCCAAACUCCUACGGGAGGCAGCAGUAGGGAAUCUUCCACAAUGGACGAAAGUCUGAUGGAGCAACGCCGCGUGAGUGAAGAAGGGUUUCGGCUCGUAAAACUCUGUUGUUAAAGAAGAACAUAUCUGAGAGUAACUGUUCAGGUAUUGACGGUAUUUAACCAGAAAGCCACGGCUAACUACGUGCCAGCAGCCGCGGUAAUACGUAGGUGGCAAGCGUUGUCCGGAUUUAUUGGGCGUAAAGCGAGCGCAGGCGGUUUUUUAAGUCUGAUGUGAAAGCCUUCGGCUCAACCGAAGAAGUGCAUCGGAAACUGGGAAACUUGAGUGCAGAAGAGGACAGUGGAACUCCAUGUGUAGCGGUGAAAUGCGUAGAUAUAUGGAAGAACACCAGUGGCGAAGGCGGCUGUCUGGUCUGUAACUGACGCUGAGGCUCGAAAGUAUGGGUAGCAAACAGGAUUAGAUACCCUGGUAGUCCAUACCGUAAACGAUGAAUGCUAAGUGUUGGAGGGUUUCCGCCCUUCAGUGCUGCAGCUAACGCAUUAAGCAUUCCGCCUGGGGAGUACGGCCGCAAGGCUGAAACUCAAAGGAAUUGACGGGGGCCCGCACAAGCGGUGGAGCAUGUGGUUUAAUUCGAAGCUACGCGAAGAACCUUACCAGGUCUUGACAUACUAUGCAAAUCUAAGAGAUUAGACGUUCCCUUCGGGGACAUGGAUACAGGUGGUGCAUGGUUGUCGUCAGCUCGUGUCGUGAGAUGUUGGGUUAAGUCCCGCAACGAGCGCAACCCUUAUUAUCAGUUGCCAGCAUUAAGUUGGGCACUCUGGUGAGACUGCCGGUGACAAACCGGAGGAAGGUGGGGAUGACGUCAAAUCAUCAUGCCCCUUAUGACCUGGGCUACACACGUGCUACAAUGGAUGGUACAACGAGUUGCGAACUCGCGAGAGUAAGCUAAUCUCUUAAAGCCAUUCUCAGUUCGGAUUGUAGGCUGCAACUCGCCUACAUGAAGUCGGAAUCGCUAGUAAUCGCGGAUCAGCAUGCCGCGGUGAAUACGUUCCCGGGCCUUGUACACACCGCCCGUCACACCAUGAGAGUUUGUAACACCCAAAGUCGGUGGGGUAACCUUUUAGGAACCAGCCGCCUAAG
rnacentral:rRNA from 1 species